rnacentral:tRNA from 3 species
AUUCUUUUAUAUUGGGACGUAAAUAACUUUCUUUU